AUAUAUAUAAACAAGUCUAAAUUGAAAACAACGUUCAAACCUAUGGUUGCGUUGGAUAAAAACCGCAAUUUUUAUACGUGUGCAUGCAAAACAAAUUUCUUGUCAGAGGGAUCUAAAUACAGCACAAACAACAUUUUCCAAAAGACCAAAAAAGUGAAAAAGUAUAUUUUAACAAAACGCAUUUGACUAACAGGUCGAACAACAAAUGUUCUUAAACCCUGCUGACUGCCAUUGGCGAUUGCCAAAUAAACGGAUCACAAGGUGUAAUAAAUGGAUCUUAACUAUAAAUUUAAUACCAAACAGAAAACAAUAAACUUGCGGCAAAGAUGGUAUACCGCAAACAAAGGUGCAAAGAUUUUUUGUACACCAUAUCCGGAUUUCGACAAUUAAUGUCUCUUCAGUGAUGUUAGGAAUCGAAACGGUAUUUGGAAGGCCAUAUAAUUUACCUCAAUUUAGGAUAGACUCUUGAAUUUUGAGGAGUCAAAAUAGGAUGAACGGAUCAUAUAAACCCGAAGGCAAAUAUAAUACAAGCCCAAACGAAAAAAUAUAAACAAGUCUAAAUUGAAAACAACGUUCAAACCUAUGAUUGCGUUGGAUAAAAACCGCAAUUUUUAUACGCGUGCAUGCAAAACAAAUUUCUUGUCAGAGGGAUCUAAAUACAGCACAAACAACAUUUUCCAAAAGACCAAAAAAGUGAAAAAGUAUAUUUUAACAAAACGCAUUUGACUAACAGGUCGAACAACAAAUGUUCUUAAACCCUGCUGACUGCCAUUGGCGAUUGCCAAAUAAACGGAUCACAAGGUGUAAUAAAUGGAUCUUAACUAUAAAUUUAAUACCAAACAGAAAACAAUAAACUUGCGGCAAAGAUGGUAUACCGCAAACAAAGGUGCAAAGAUUUUUUGUACACCAUAUCCGGAUUUCGACAAUUAAUGUCUCUUCAGUGAUGUUAGGAAUCGAAACGGUAUUUGGAAGGCCAUAUAAUUUACCUCAAUUUAGGAUAGACUCUUGAAUUUUGAGGAGUCAAAAUAGGAUGAACGGAUCAUAUAAACCCGAAGGCAAAUAUAAUACAAGCCCAAACGAAAAAAUAUAAACAAGUCUAAAUUGAAAACAACGUUCAAACCUAUGAUUGCGUUGGAUAAAAACCGCAAUUUUUAUACGCGUGCAUGCAAAACAAAUUUCUUGUCAGAGGGAUCUAAAUACAGCACAAACAACAUUUUCCAAAAGACCAAAAAAGUGAAAAAGUAUAUUUUAACAAAACGCAUUUGACUAACAGGUCGAACAACAAAUGUUCUUAAACCCUGCUGACUGCCAUUGGCGAUUGCCAAAUAAACGGAUCACCGAUGUAAUAAAUGGAUCUUA